rnacentral:rRNA from 1 species
GUGAGUAACACGUAGAUAACCUGCCCUUAAGACGAGGAUAACCAUUGGAAACGAUGGCUAAAACUGGAUAGGAAUAUUGGAGGCAUCUCUAAUAUUUUAAAAGACCUAGUAAUAGGUAUACUUAAGGAGGGGUCUGCGGCGCAUUAGUUAGUUGGUGAGGUGAUGGCUUACCAAGACGAUGAUGCGUAGCCGGACUGAGAGGUUGAACGGCCACACUGGGACUGAGACACGGCCCAGACUCC